CAGAACGGAAGUGUUGGCAGGGAGCGCCGCGGGCCGGGUGCAGGUGAGUGGUGCCCGGGGCCGGCUCGCGCAUUGGGGCCUUAGCGGCUACGUGGGCCUCGGGGCCGCUUCUCGGGUCUGUCUUCGCCUCAGGCGCUCUGCGGCCCCGCCGGACCAAUGUCCCGACCGCCCUGGACGCUGGCUGCUGCAGGGUCCCGCUCUAACAGCCCUCUUUCGCAGCACUGUUAGGGGCCUGGCUUAGGCCUAGAGGCGUCAGGGCACUUCACCUCCUCAGCUUAGUAAUAGCAGGUGUUGUUACAGGCCUACUUGGAGCCAUGCCGUGUGAUGCUUUCACUGGCUGAUAACCUAGGGCAGAGAAACUGUGCCUUGCUCUGGACAACUGGGCUGCCUCGGUGAGGCUGAGGUGUGGCUGCUUCUCACUUUAGUUCUGCAUGUCAGCCAGCGAGGUCUGAUGUAUAAACCAGAAAUACAUUGACUGGGGGGCACCCGAUAUGAUAGCAGGACCCAAACCUGAUUUCUUUUGUAAAAGAUUGCAAACUUGGAUGUUGAAUGCAAGCUUGAGAAUGGGGAUAAAAACUAGAAGAGGGGAGAUUUAGAUUGGACGUUAGGAGGAAGGUUUUUACGGCAAGAGUGGUGAGG
rnacentral:lncRNA from 1 species